CUUGAUUGAAACUGCGAAAUAAGACAACCUGAAAUACACAGAGGCUCAGCAAAAUGCAGUAGGACGAAAUGUGAGUCAUUGGUUCGGAUACGGCCUCAUUGACGUCGAAGCGAUGGUUCAAAGAGCUCCAACGUGGCAGAGUCUUCCAGAGCAACAUUCGUGUCACACUCAAGUGAAAUAUGAAAUGAAAACGGUCAAACCUAAAGACACUGUACGUGUGGUGCAGAGCCAAAUAUACACGGACGGGUGUAACGACACCACUUAUUGUGUUAACAGAGUUGAACAUGUAGAGGCAUAUAUAGAGUUUUCAUACACAACUAGAGGAAUUAUUGAACUAAUUCUAGAAUCUCCAAGCGGGACUGUGAGCACGCUUUUGAAUACGAGGGGCUCGGAUUCAAUGAAAAAUUCAGAACAAAAAUGGACAUAUAUGUCGGUACAUCAUUGGAGUGAAAAUCCAUUUGGAACGUGGAAACUUAACUUAUCGGUCAA